GCCUGGGUGGCUCAGUCGGUUAAGCAUCUGACUUUGGCUCAGGUCCUGAUCUCAGGGUCCGUGAGUUCAAGCCCCGCGUCGGGCU
rfam:Felis catus isolate Cinnamon breed Abyssinian chromosome X, whole genome shotgun sequence.